GCAAUCACUAAAAGACCUAAGAAACUCAUACUAAUUGGCAAAGAGCUUCCUAACCUAGAACACAAGAAGAGAAAAUCGGAAAAUGUGGAACACAUGAAGCACAAAGAAACUGUUAAACUAAAUAAGAGGGACAUAACCAAACAUCAAAACACCUCAAGGGGUGAACUUAAUCAACCAACCAAUAAUCAAUAUAUCCAAACAACAUCCAUAACAUCAAUACAGAACCAGAUACAACUACAACAUCCAUAA
rnacentral:lncRNA from 1 species